CUGGCUUCUCAGCCUUUUGGCUAAGAUCAAGUGUAGAAUUUGUUCUUAUCAGUUUGAUAUUCAGUAACACAUUCUGAGCCUUACAGAUGUCUGAGCUUGAAGGGUAGCUGGUGUAGUCUUAACAAGAUUAUGCAAGAAAAAUAUCUUGAAAAGGAAUGAUGUGGUAACCUCCU